rnacentral:rRNA from 1 species
UACGGAGGGGGCUAGCGUUGUUCGGAAUUACUGGGCGUAAAGCGCACGUAGGCGGUUAUUCAAGUCAGAGGUGAAAGCCCGGGGCUCAACCCCGGAACUGCCUUUGAAACUAGAUAGCUAGAAUCUUGGAGAGGCGAGUGGAAUUCCGAGUGUAGAGGUGAAAUUCGUAGAUAUUCGGAAGAACACCAGUGGCGAAGGCGACUCGCUGGACAAGUAUUGACGCUGAGGUGCGAAAGCGUGGGGAGCAAACAGG